rnacentral:rRNA from 1 species
GACGAACGCUGGCGGCGUGCUUAACACAUGCAAGCCGAACGGAAAGGCCCUGCUUUUGUGGGGUGCUCGAGUGGCGAACGGGUGAGUAACACGUGAGUAACCUGCCCUUGACUUUGGGAUAACUUCAGGAAACUGGGGCUAAUACCGGAUAGGAGCUCCUGCUGCAUGGUGGGGGUUGGAAAGUUUCGGCGGUUGGGGAUGGACUCGCGGCUUAUCAGCUUGUUGGUGGGGUAGUGGCUUACCAAGGCUUUGACGGGUAGCCGGCCUGAGAGGGUGACCGGCCACAUUGGGACUGAGAUACGGCCCAGACUCCUACGGGAGGCAGCAGUGGGGAAUAUUGCACAAUGGGCGGAAGCCUGAUGCAGCAACGCCGCGCGCGGGAUGACGGCCUUCGGGUUGUAAACCGCUUUCGCCUGUGACGAAGCGUGAGUGACGGUAAUGGGUAAAGAAGCACCGGCUAACUACGUG